CGCUAAUCACUUAUUUCGUUUGAAUUGAAUUAUCCCAAACCCAUUUUAUGUAUAUACACAUUGGUCGUGUACUUUACGAUUUAUUUAUUUUUAAAUUGUUUCUUUUUUUUCUUUAUAGUAUUAACCUAUUAAUUGUGUUUUUGACAGAUCUAAAUAUUAAAUUAUGUAUACAGCUUUUUUACACCAAAAAUAAAGUAUUAAUGAAAAUUUGGUGGGACUUAAUUU
rnacentral:lncRNA from 1 species